rnacentral:tRNA from 17 species
CGUAGCUCAGCUGGAUAGAGCAACGGCCUUCUAAGCCGUGGGUCGGGGGUUCGAAUCCCUUCG